UGGAACUGAACGCUGCUGACUCCUGGUUUCUGAGAAAACAAGUUGGGCAAACGUCUUACUGUGUGGGCUGUGAGACGCUUGGAGGACAUGUCCCUCAGGGCCCUAGGAAACCCAGUAAAACCAGUCUCAAGUGAAUCCAGUGAAGCUUGCCACGUUGGAGGCACUUUGGUGCGAUGGAAGAAGGGCCACACUGGGAAUCAGACUGUGUAGAUGCCAUCCCAUCAGCCACUGAACUUCGGUGAUCACAAACUCUGGUGCAGAGAAAUAGAUGUCUGACAAGGAAGAACGUAGCCAAAAAGCACUCCUUCCUUGGCUUCCCAUCUUUGGGACCAAACUGCCAAGGAUAUUCAGUGGAACUGGCCAUACUGAGCAGCAGUCUAGUGACCUACUAGAAGGCAUCCUGGUGCAUCCCAUCUAUUCAAAGAGCUCUCAAGUGUAUUAACCCAUGUGGCCAUCAAAAUAUGAGAAAACCUGGAAAUGCAGGCCUUCAGAAUCCUUUGGCUCAGUCUUUAGAGCAUAAUGUAAAGUGGGGAUUAGCCGUUAUCCAGUGAAUUCAAACUGGGAAGAUAGUCAAUUUGGUUAAUUCCACAGUUUUAUUCUCUCAAUUUGGUGGAACACCUUCUGAUACCUUCUUGAGAGCAGUGCAUGGGAGUGGAGUCAUAGAAGAGUGCAAGACGGAGGAGUAUAAAGACCCUGAGCUCACUUCCUCUCACGAGCACACCAAAAUCACAACUAUUGGCAGAACAACUGUCAAUUAAAAACAUUGGAAUCUACCAGAAAAAAUCUUCUAUAGCUAAAGACAUAAAGAAGGAACCAUAACGAGACAGAGAAUAUGAAACAGUUCCAGAUGGUGAGCAAGUGGACAGACUCAAACAAGCUGCAAAGCUUGCUGGCACGAGAGAACCUGCUCCGUGGUGACAUACAAGUGCAGAAUCCCCACAGUCCUGCUUCCUGAUGAAACUGGAAAGAACAAACCAACAAUAGAGAAAUGAGUACUGUAAUUUAUCUUGGAGGCCAUUUAGGUUGUUUAUCCCAAACUACAUUUUGAUUCCAGUUACAGUUUAAUUAUGAGUAUUUGUUCUCUAACAGAGACUAAACAAAGGAUAGUCUGUUUGCUGCUGCCCUACCACUGGUUUGAAAACAGAUUUUUGAAGCAUUGUCUGCUUAGUAUCUCCUGGUUUAUCCUUCGCUUUGAACUAAGAGUUACUGCGAAGAGUUCAUAUGUUUCUGCUGCUUCUCCUGUCUCAGUUACUUUAUAUAGAGAAACUCUCUUUCUUUUUAAAUGUAAUGAAUAAAAUACAUUUUUUUAAUAAAUAAAACUAUGCCUAA